rnacentral:lncRNA from 1 species
UGAGUGAGGGCUGUGAGGACCGCCAGCACUCUGUCACCUCUCACUAUUACCAGUUCUGUUCCUUUGCUGCUUCUUCUGGUUGUCCAAUUCAACCAGCAUUGUUUUAUCUUUCUUUCUUGUCACAUAUAAUAUUUCAUAUCCUGUUUCUAAUCUGGAUUCGUCUUUCACUCUACUUGGCCCUUGGGUUGCAGCCCCAUGUCUCUCCUGGCCGGAGGCACCAAGACCUGGUGUCUGUCCCAGGAAAGUUAACAAGCUGGUCCACUUGCCAAUUUACCACCUUGGAUUUUGAGGCCAGGUGACUGGUGAAGGAGCCAGGAUUGAUUUAAAGCAUAAGCUGAGUGAUAUCACUGCAACAAAUAGUUACUAAGUGACCCAUUUACAUGGUGGAGAAUGUUGAUUCUGUGAGAAGGUCAAAUCAAUCAGGUACCUCAUUAUCUCAUUGGCUAAAACAACAUUGAUACAUUUUUUGCGCAAAGAUGGAGGCCUCCCUUUGUCCUCACCAAAGCCAGUAGGAAUGUAAACUACAUGAGAGCAGAAACCUUGCUUGUCUCCAUCACAGUGCCUGGAACAGUGCCUGGGAAGUGGUGGUGGGUGCAGCACAAUCAAUAUUUGGGGAAUGAAUUGUUAUCGUUCAGC